AACUGGUAAUGUCUGUUCUUUCUCUCUCUUAAACUGGUUCAAACCCUCAUUUCCUCUCUCUAUCCAUUUUCUUCAUCACCCAGCUGAGAUUAACUCUCUUUUUCUUCAAGUGGGGUUUAGUCAAAAGGAGGCAUUUUCAUCUUCCUUUACUUGGGGUUUUUGAUUUAUGGCUUUUACUUGUUGGAUCUGCUCUUGACUUGAUCACUGCUUUACUCUUUUGUAAGAACCUUUUAAUUGUUUUGUUUGGGCAACCUAUCUCCUCUAUACGUAGAUUUUUUUCGAUGAGGAAGUCCGUUCAGGUUGGCUAUGGGAAAUUGAUUGUUGAUUUUCUGUUGCUGGCCUUUGUGGUUGGUGAAGUAUUAGCUGCUGAUUAUGUCCCGGCAGAUAAUAACCUUGUGAACUGUGGUGGUCCUGAUGAUAAAGUUGAUGGUCGCCAAUGGACUACAGAUAAAGGGUCAAAGUUUGUUUUGGCAGGUGCCAAGUCUUCUACGUUCGAGGCUGACGCCCAGAAAUCUUCAGUUCCGACUACCCCUUACCUGACUGCUCGUGUUUUCCAAUCCGAGUUCACCUACAGCAUUCCGGUUGCUGUUGGUCGCAAAUUUAUCCGCCUCCACUUCUAUCCUGCAUCCUAUGGAAACUUCAAUGCCUCUAAGGCUAUCUUCUCAGUGUCUUGUGGUCCAUAUACCCUUCUCAAAAACUUUAGUGCAGCACAAACCGCAGAAGCGCUUAACUAUGAUAUUAUUGUUAAAGAGUAUUCUAUUAAUGUUCCAUCCACAAUGUUAAACAUUACCUUCACCCCAGCUUCAAAUAUUCCUGAUUCAUAUGCAUUUGUGAACGGUAUUGAGGCUGUGUCACAUCCUGACAUCUAUGCGACUGAAGCGGCUCUCGUGGGGCUAAGUAAUCAAUUCACCAUUGAUAAUUCCACUGCUCUUGAGAAUGUUUAUCGGUUAAAUGUAGGUGGAAAUGCCAUUUCUCCCUCAAGUGAUACUGGUCUCUUUAGGUCCUGGUUCGAUGAUAUGCUUUACAUAUUUGGGGCAGGAUCUGGGGUUUCACAAACAGCUGACCCAGAUAUGACUAUUGCCUAUCCUCCAGACAUACCUGCUUAUGUGGCACCAGUUGAUAUAUAUAAAACUGCUAGAACAAUGGGUCCAGACCCGAACAUAAACGAUCAGUACAAUUUGACUUGGGUCUUCUCUGUUGAUUCAGGUUUCUCUUACUUGGUUAGGCUCCAUUUCUGCGAGGUUUCUGCAAAUGUAACCAAGAUUAACCAGAGGGUGUUUGAUAUCUUCCUUAACAAUAAAACUGCCGAGGCUGGGGCAGAUGUGGUUGCUUGGACUGUUACAAAUGGAGUUCCAAUUUACAAGGAUUAUGCGGUGAUUGUUCCAUCCGGGCCUCCACAGCAGGAUCUUUGGUUAGCAUUGCAUCCGAAUCUUAAAGCGAAAUCAAAUUACGAUGAUGCAAUUCUUAAUGGGGUGGAGAUAUUCAAAAUAAAUGUUACUGAUGGAAUUCUUGCAGGUCCCAAUCCUAUCCCAGCCCCUAAACAAGACAGAAUUGAUCCAUCACGUAAACGAUCUUCAUCUGGAUCAGGUGACUCAAAUAAGACUGGUGUCAUUGGUGGCAGCAUCGGGGGUAGCAUUGCUGCUGUACUUCUUGUUGGUUUACUUGUUUGUUUUCUUGCUCGGCGUAGGCAGAGGAGGGAUCCGAGUGCAAGUGAUGGACCAUCUGGGUGGCUACCUCUUUCUCUCUAUGGAAAUUCACAUUCCUCAGGUUCUGGAAAGACCACAACCACAGGGAGCUAUGCCUCCUCCCUCCCUUCAAAUCUUUGCCGACACUUCUCUUUUGCUGAGAUAAUGGCUGCAACCAAGAAUUUUGACGAUGCACUGAUCCUUGGCGUGGGUGGUUUUGGCAAAGUGUACAAGGGUGAGAUUGAUGGUGGUACAACUAUGGUUGCAAUCAAGCGUGGAAAUCCGCUAUCUGAGCAAGGUGUGCACGAAUUCCAAACGGAGAUUGAAAUGCUCUCAAAACUACGACACCGACACCUUGUUUCAUUGAUUGGUUAUUGUGAAGAAAACUGUGAAAUGAUCCUUGUGUAUGAUUACAUGGCUUAUGGAACUCUCCGUGAGCAUCUCUACAAGACCCAAAAGCCACCUUUGCCAUGGAAGCAGAGACUUGAAAUCUGCAUUGGGGCUGCUCGUGGUUUGCAUUAUCUUCAUACGGGUGCCAAGCAUACUAUUAUCCACCGUGAUGUCAAGACAACCAACAUUCUCUUAGAUGAAAAGUGGGUUGCAAAGGUAUCUGAUUUCGGAUUGUCAAAAACAGGUCCUACAUUGGAUCACACUCAUGUCAGUACAGUAGUGAAAGGUAGUUUUGGGUAUCUCGAUCCGGAGUACUUUAGGCGGCAGCAACUGACAGAAAAAUCUGAUGUAUACUCGUUUGGAGUUGUUCUGUUUGAGAUUUUAUGUGCUCGUCCUGCUUUGAACCCAACACUACCAAAGGAGCAAGUGAGUUUGGCGGAGUGGGCUUUCCAUUGCCAUCAGAAGGGCAAUCUUGAUCAGAUUAUUGAUCCAUAUCUCAAGGGAAAGAUUGCUCCUGAGUGUCUAAAAAAGGUAGCAGAAACAGCAGUAAAGUGUGUGGCUGAUCAGGGAAUUGACAGGCCAUCAAUGGGUGAUGUCCUAUGGAACCUUGAAUUUGCUCUGCAGCUCCAAGAGAGUGCUGAAGAGAGUGGUAAAGGUUUUGUCGGGAUGGACUUAGAAGACGGAGCAUUUGAUAAAGGAAAGAAGGAUCCUGAUUCAUCCACAGGCUUUGAUGGGCAUGUAACAGAUUCAAGAAGCUCUGGCAUGUCAAUGAGCAUUGGUGGACGAAGUCUAGCGAGUACAGACUCAGAUGGUUUGACUCCUAGUGCUGUUUUCUCUCAAAUCAUGAACCCAAAAGGACGAUGAGAUAAUCCCUCCCUGGUUACACUUUUCUACAGGUCGAUACCCAGCUAGGCAAUGUGAUUCACACUGCCUGCUGGCUUGUUUUGUACUAAUGUCGUAUAUCUGGCAUUGCUGCGGACAGCACACCAGAAAGGAAGAGAAUGAAAAGAGCAUCACAUUCACAUGGAUGGGUGCCGGCGCUCUAGAAAGGCAAGAUGGAUUCCAAGUUGUUGGUUUCUUUUUCAAAACUUGCACAUGAGUCGUGUAGUUUUGGUUUUGACAUUGGUUUCUUUCAAUUAUUUCUAGUUUUGAUUUUGAAUUA